GAAGUUUUAAGAUAUGAGGAAGCUGAGCUAGAAAAAGGGGGAAAGCAGGAGAUGCUUCAUGAGAGAAAAAUCUAUAGCUAUGAAGCCUUCUCAGAUUCCAUCCCAGAGUAAUGUUUAAAGGUAUUUUCAAACAAGACAUCAUUCAUAGGUUGCUACAGGCACCAGGAGUAGCAUGGAUUGGUUUACAUGCAAGAACUCAAGUGAUCUACAAACUAAUUAAGGUAAGAGACAAAUGCAAAUGAUGUGAGGAAGUGUCCCAGGACAGCUCUCCCACCUGAAUCUGGAGCACCGCAAGAUCGGCAUCCAAGGCACUCUUGACUGGCAGUAACUUCUUUGUCACGCUAAUCUGUCUUUGCUUCUCGGCUAUCUUCAGUUUUAGGAAUCGGAUUUUUUCUUCCAGGACAUGUAUUUCAGUUUCCCCAUUUAGUUUCAACUUCUCUUGGAUAUUUAUUUUUUCAUAAAAAAUGCACACUUCUUCUUCUCGCUCAAUCAGCUGAACACCACUGUGGUCAAAUUCAAAGGAAGAGGCUAAGUGAAUGCUAAAGCUACUGUUUCACUAGUUAACUGUAGUUCCCUCUAGCUUUGGGUACAUACAAACACACAACACAGGAAAAUUCCAGAGGGUGGGAGAUACUUACUGAUGUUUUUCUAGUUAAAACUGCACACUGGAUUUUCCUGGAGGUGUGUUUAGCAGCUUGACACUUAGGCCAACCAUGUGAUUAGUUGGCUGCAGUGUCUCUGUGGGUUUCAAAGGUUUUCUGGGGGGCAGGAAAGAAUGUCAUUCCCCAUGUGUGAACAAAGUAAUCCCAUAGUCUGAUUUUCUGCAGACCCUGUUCUUGGGCCAGAUUUGCCAACAAAAUCCUGACCAGAAGUGCACAGGCAGGGGGCCAGAGAAUGUGUUUUGGGGGUAAUUCUGUUCUAUAUCAAGUUGCCAGGCCCACUAGGUUCUUUUAAAGUUGAAUAUUUUUUGAUGCUAAUUUCCCCAUAAACAGGCAAAAAUCUGCCCUUUGUAAUCAUGCUGAUGAGUGGGGGUGACCCCUAAGACCCCCCUCCUUGAGAGGAGACUAUGGGAAAGAAACAAGGAAUUUCUAACUAACUCCUGUAGCUCUGGUCUGGCUGGGGCCUGGGAGCAAAGCAUUUGCUUAAAUGCUUUGGUCUGUUUUAGGAACCAAAUAAGAUAUAUUACCUCCGCUCAGAGAACACAUUCAUCUACCCUUAGAAAAAGUGCUACUCAAGGACCCUAAAGGUCUUUCUAUACCCGUUGUGUAUGCAUUACCCAGAAUUCCACCUUUAACUAUUUCUCUGUCAAAGUUUCUCAUGUCAAUAGUCUCAGCAGAAGUGAGGGGCAAUGUUUUACGGUCUUUUUGUAGUCUGAUGGUCAAGCACUCCAAUGCCUCACACAGAACAAAAAAUCAGAUACCAGGCAUCAUUACUACAGGGCUCUACAACCACACAUUCCAGUUUCUCAGGGCACAAGCAACUUGGGGGGAAACUGCUAGAAUAUAAAUUUAUUAAUGGCACAAUUGCAGCCUGGAAGAAAUAAGACCAUUUAAGGGUCUUAUUGUUGAGAAAAUGAGCUAAGAGAAUGGCUUUGAUAAAUGUAAUAAGAUCAAACUUGUCACCAAAAUGAAUACCAGUUUGUUUAUGUCAAUUAUGUGAAAAGAAUUUGAUAUUAUCAGAGAUAUCCUGAAUGGUAGCCUGAGAAAAGGUGUUGAUCUUAAAAGUGAAUAACCUCCCAUCGCCUCCUCUUUGCCUGUUUCAUUUACAAGGAUAGCAGUUCUUAUUUUUAGGCAAGACCUCCUCUAAAGGCUAAUGAAAUCUGAAUGUCACAUGUCCCUCACUCCUGUCAAAUCUAGGAGGAGUAAGGGUGACAUAUCUAAGUCACAUACUUUGGUACCCUGUUCUCACACUAGGUUCCUGGCCCUUACCUUUCAUUUCGCCUCUGCACAGCCUUCUCAUACUUUUUGCGGAGUCGCACCAUCUCCUCUUCUAUCGUUGUGAUCGUAUUGGCAAGUCUGUCCAUGCUGGUUAGCUGGGUUUCCUUCUUCUCUUUCAUUUCUUGAAGUUUUGAUAAGAUUUUGCACACAUCAUUUUGCAUGCUCUCUCUGAUAGUAACGUUGUUGGCAUGUUUCAACACAGAAUUUUGUAGCUUUCUUUUAAAAUAACGGGACAGUGGCUAAGAUUAUGAGUCUAAUGAGGACUUCUGAGACAUAAGCAUUUCAAAGUAGCUCUUGUUUUCACAUGGCUCUUGAAAUGACAGUAGUAAUAGUAGUGAUACUCCGGAUACCAUUCAGGAGUUUUUGUAAUCGUCCCAGGUCUCAGACUCUUCCCUCCAUCCAGAAUAGGACACCUUUCCUUGGUGCCCAGGGUUGUGCCACUCCUCCCCCCCUUUGUCAAAGCAAGAAACUAUAGUCAGUCAUCCUUGCUCUGCUGUCCUCCAGAGGCUGCUCUCCUGAGGACAAGGUGGUCCUAUCUGAAGGCAUCUAUUGGACCUGAGCUGGUGCCUGCACUUUAGUGUGGGCCAUAAUUGGUGCUGAAUGAGAUCACAGCCUCUGUAAAUGAUAUUUAACUUUCCUGUUGGGUGAGAACCUGAUUGGGAAAUUAUAUUUUAUUCUUUCUAUACCCACCACUCUCCAAAUGAAGCCAUUUUGUAAUGUGUUUAUUAAAGGAAACUGGACAAUAAAAAGCCAAUGGAAAAAGUUCACAUUGUGUAGACUCAGGAGAUCAGGAUCUAACAUGAGUAAAAGAGUCCAAUGUAGCAUAUGGCAAACAAUAAAUCAAUAAAACUACCAUUUGCCAGACACCCUUCUGUGUGCUAUUACACCAAUUAGCUCACAUAAUAAUAAAAAGUCCUAUGCAAUAAAGACUCUUCUAAUGGAAAAGGAAAGUGAGUCUAGAGAUAAAAGUUAGCUUAUUCAAGGUCAGUCAGCUAGUAUGUGGCAGAGCUGGGAUCUGCAUCUAGGAAACCCCCUCUCCUAAUUGCUCUCCGGUAUUGCCUCCUGUAGGUUCAUUAGAUGCUUUAAAUCUACAACCAGAGGAUGCAGACUAAUAGACAAUUUGGUUGUUUUCUAACAAGUGCAGAUUACCAGAGUUGGAUUUUUCUAAUUGGGCAAAUGACAAUCAUAAAAUCAUAUUAAAUACUUAUACAUUAUAUUUGUCCAGCAAUGGAUAAAGAAAAUGUGAUAUACAUACAUAAUAGAGUUUUAUUUAGCCAUAAUGAAGAAUGAAAUUGUCAUUUUCAGGAAAAUUAAUGGAACUUGAGAAUAUUAUGUUAAGGGAAAUAAAGUCAAGGGUUGUAUGUUUUGUCUCAUGUGGAAGCUAGAGAGGAAAAAAGAAAAGGAAGGUAGUUGGGAAAAUUUCAUGAAAAUUGAAAGGAGAGCAGUAUAGUGGAAGGGAAAUACUGGGGAAGGAUAACGGUCCAGUUACAUUGUCAUAUUGUGUGCAUGUAUGAACGUGUAACAACAAAUCCACCAUUAUGCACAGCUAUGAUGCAUCCAUAAAAAAUAUGGAAAAAGAAAAAAGUGUGUCUCCCAAACAAGCAUAAGCAAUUGUGUUCCAAAGCUUAGAUUAUUAUCUAGGAAACAGUAUUUAAACAGGGCUUUCCCAGCUCUCUAAACUACUAUUUUCGAUCUUAAGAUUCCCCAGUAUGACUUUCAAAGGAUUAUAGUUAUUGUAACUCUUACCUGUCCUGAGUAAUGGCACUAUUUCUUAAAAUUUCCAGUUCAUUUAAUGACAUUUUAUGCCUUUCUUUUAUUUCAUUUACUUUCUGGUGAGCUUUAUGAAGUAGGUUAACAAACUUGUUUCUUUCAUUUCGAAUUGUGUCAUACAACUUUGCAAACUCUCUGAGCCUGUGAAAAUACAAAGUUUUUUGAACUUUGUAAAAUAAAAAAAUCAACUUUGCACCACCAAAUAGAUAACCAUGUGAUUUUUUUCCUUACCUUCGAUAAAUUUCACGUUUUUUCUUCCUGUAUAUUCUGAUUUCAAGAUCCUUUGCUUUGAUUUCUUUAACAAUGUUGUUAUAUUUUUGCUGAAAUAUAAACCUUAUAUAUGAAAUAAUAUGAAUACCCCCAGCUGAACCCCACUUCAUUCCCAUCGGUGAAGGAAUCAUUUCUCUUGGCAUACUGGGUUAUGUAGAUCAGUUGGAGGGACUCGGGGCACAUCUGAAAAUUGCUAGCUGAACUGGUUCAAAUGGGCGAGGCCAAAGGGUAACAUAAGGACGAGAGAUUGUCUAUACAGGUUGGGUUUGAGGAACUAUUGAGAGAAGAGUAAUUGUGGACUGUAUCACUGGACAGGGUGAGUGUAAAGUUUCUGGAAGAUAGACAAGCAAAGAUGAUUUAUAGGAAGCUGCGAAAAUUUUUAUGCAUGAAACCCUCCAAUAUUUCAUGAGAGGCUGAAACAAUGUUUAAAGUGCUUUUCCAUAACUCUCAGAAUGGAAAAGAAGAAACUAAUAUUUAGGUAACUGUGUGAAUAAUUAAAUAGGUAUAAAAAUGUAAUUCCAUCUACUCUAUUUUUUUGGGGGGGGUGAUAGAUGACACUAUAUUUCCUCUAUACCUUUUAUCUUUUUUUAAAAAAAGGAAUGUAGAUGUUGUAUGAAAGGAAAAUGAUAAGCUCUAAUGCCUUCUUAUAGAAAUGACAGCAAACUAUAGCUUUAAUGGAGCAAUUCCCACUGCUAAGAACACUCAAGGAAUAAAUAUUUUCCCUUUAUCAGCUUCCAGAUCUCAAAAGGAAGAAAUAUCUAUGUUUCAAUAUGAAUGAGCUCAUUUUGAUUUUGCUACUCUGCUCCUCCCCUAACACCCUCUCUCCUGUCUGGUUGCCUUUCCUUCCCAUUCCUGCAACCAUUUUCCCCUUCUUUACUCUGUUGGAAUCCACCUGUCCCAGGGACUCUACUGGGAUUAUUGAAGUCUUCAUGAUGGAAUCAAAAUCAAAAUGUGGAUUGAGUAACCUUCCCUAUCUCACCUCUCCUGCUCUCUGGUUUUGCCAUUUGAUAUCCCUUCUCCCAUCUUCCCCUGUGUAAACUAAGAUGAACUUCUUUCAGUUUCUCAAAUGUUAAAAUGGAAAAAUAGUGAAUAGAGGAUGUGAAGAGUUUGCUAUGAUUAGAUCUUUCUCUCUGCAAAAUCUAAUCCCAUUGCUACAAAUAUUCUGGUGUGAGUUUUGUUUUUUUCUGGAAAAUGAGAAGAAGUGUUGUCCUAUGUAAAUACUUAUCCAAAAUGAGAACAAAGGUUUCACUUGGAAACGGCCAAUAUAUGGCUCAUAUGAUAAAUUCAAAUACUCUUAGUAAUAUGUCAUAUCAUAUCCCUUAAGGAAUUUCUGGGUAUAAUCUGGAUAUAAUCCUUACAUGGAACAAAUGAUUCUAAUGUUAGAAUUUUAGCUAGCAUGACAGGAAGGUUUUAUUUUGGGAUAUUGCACCAGGCCCUCUCUGGUACUCUGCAGGAGUCUGUGAGAAAUCAUGGAGUGAGAAGCAAUAAGCAAGGGUAUCCUGGUACUGGUUUGAAUGAUGCUUGCUGGAUAAACCUGGGGGUGGGGGAAUUGUCAAAUGCU
rnacentral:lncRNA from 1 species